AGUUGGGGGGGAGAGAGAGUCGUACCCUCCUACGCCCAUUUUAGCUGUUAAGCUGGGGAUAUUUUAGACUUUUCUCACCUUAAAACCUUAAUACCCCACAUCUUAAAACACAUUGUAGCCUCUCAUAACACACUUUGAAAGACCAAAUCACUCCUAAAACUAUUUCUAAACUCUCUCUUAAAGAUUGGGCUAGGGUUUCUACAAGGUGUUCAUCUAGAGGCUCA
rnacentral:lncRNA from 1 species